AUUUUAUUCUGCUUAGUGUAACAGAAUACUGUUAAGUUGUUAGGAAGAUAGAUGUAGUCAAAGAUAGCAGUUGGAGUGCAUUCAGGUUCAAUUGCGAAGAUGUCGAUUGAGAGUGAUAACACAGGCAAUGGCACGACUAAAAGUCUGGUAAUCGAUCAACAUCACCCUCUGUUUUUUCAAUAGUGUGAUACGCCAGGAAGUUCAUUGAUCUCGAUCAAAUUAACUGGUCCAAAAACUGUGCUUAUGGAGCAGCACCAUGCGCAUCAUUUUGCUUGGUAAAAGCAAAUUAGGCUUUGUCAAUGGCCUAUAUCCAUUCGAAAAGUUUGAUUCAUCGUUGCAUCAACUUUGGGAAAAAUGCAAUGCUAUUGUGCUCUCGUGGAUCAUGAAUUUAAUAAGCACGGAAUUACUCUGCGGGAUCAUCUACACAUCCAGUUCAUACAAGGUAUGGUUGGAUCUAUAAGAGAGAUUCGACAAGGUUAAUCACUCUAGAAUAUUUCAUCUUCAUAAGCUACUCUCCUAUCUAUUUCAAGGCACAUCUUCAGUUUCAAGUUAUUUCUCAAAGAUGAAGGAGAUCUGGGCUGAAUUUGAUGCCUUAAUCCCUGUCCUUGCUGCAACUGCAUUAAAUUGAGGAAAUACAGUGAGCACUUCGAAUAUUAAUGCCUUCUACAGUUCCUCAUGGGUCUCAAUGAAGCCUACUCUCAAAUAUGUGGCCAAAUUAUGUUGAUGACUCCUACACCAUCUAUAAACAAGGUGUAUGCUAUGAUCAUUUUUGAGGAGAGUAGAAGAUCUAUAAAUUUUCCUAUUCUAUCUGAUAAUCCAGAAGGAAUUACGUUAUUCAGUAAUAGUAAAGGUAACAGUCGUCUAGGACAUGGUGGUGGUCGAGGUGGUGUCUCAGGAACAAUUAUCCAGGUGGAGGUCGUGGUGGAUCUGGUACUCCAAACCAUUACUCUGAUAGUUAUGCUAAUAGACCUCGCAGAUUUGAUGUAGUGUGUGAAUAAUGCCAUAUUAGAGGUCAUUCCAAAAAUGCUUGCUACAAACUCAUUGUUUAUCCUUCUGAUUACAAGCAGAAGAAGAAGUAUAACAAUUCUUUUGCAAGAGACAAUCCAUCUGCUGUGGACAAAAUGGUAACAGGUUUGGUUCUAUGACUGGCGGCAAUUUUGGUGCUUCUCUCAAUUUUGCAGGACCUUCAAAGAUGCAGCAACAUGAUGAAUCUAACCAGCCUGAGAAAGCUAAUGAAAUCCUCACUGGGCUACCACAAUUCACCAAGGAACAAUAUCACAAGAUCUUGUUGAUGCUUGGCUCUAAACCUAAAGACACUCACUCAUCUAUGGCAGCAGGUAUGUCACUGUGGUACACUUACUGAGAGAGAAACUCAAUGGAUAAUUGACUCUAAUUCAUCCAGUCACAUGGUUGAGUCAUUACAGUUGUUAACCAACAUUAGAAGUGUUUCACACGUUAAGGAGACUCAAGUACUUCUACCCACUGGAAAUGUAUCUAGUGUAAGUCAUAUAGGUUUCUCUUGUGUAUUCUAAAACCAUGAUGUAGUCACCAAUGUUCUCCAUAUCCCUGAUUUCAAGUACAAUCUAUUAUCUGUUUCCAAACUGACCAAAGAAUUGCAGUGGGCAGUGCAUAUCUAUCUCGAUUUUUGUAUUUUUCAGGACCUUUUCACUGGUCAGGUGAAGGGGAUUGGUAGGGAGAAGGGUGACCUAUACAUUCUUACAAAUCACUACAGUAAGAAGCAUAUUGCUGAGGAAGUUCCAAGAAGCAAUUCAGUACAAACUUGUGCAGUUCAAUCAGUGCAAACCAGUGAGAUAGAUGUUGGCCUUUGGCAUAGAAGACUUGGUCAUGUUUCUGCUGGAGUUAUGAAGACACUAGGAGUUCUUGGGUCAGUACAUUGUGAGUCUGUGUGCUCUUGCAGUGUUUGUCCUCUAGCUAAACAAACUAGACGUCCAUUUCUUUUAAAAACUACUAGAUCUAAUUCAUUUUUUGAUCUCAUUCACGGUGAUGUAUUGAAUCCAUUCCCACUUAUAAUGGCAAAAGAUACUUCUUAACGCUUGUAGAUGAUCACUCCAAGUAUAUGUGGAUUUUUCUUUUACCUACUAA